CACUUGCAUGCAGAGCCUACAGAGGUCAGAAGAAAGCAUCAGAUCCCCUGGAACUGGAGUUACAUAUAGUUAUGAGCCACCAUAUGGAUGCUGGGAAUCCAUCGAGAUCCUCUAGAAGAGCAGGCAGUGCUCUGGGCCAUCUUUCUAGCUCCUGACAGGUAGUUUUGAUAUACGUGCUGAAGGAUGGAAAGGAUGCUUAAAUGAACAGUGCUGCUUUGAAGCUGUGUACUUAUUAAAUCAGGUUUGCGGACUUCAGACUCCACGUCAUAACCCUUUUCUGAAAUGGGAGAAGUCAUUGAGGCAGCCCGGCAAAUGAGCUGUGCAGUCUGUGUUCUUGUGCUGAUGACCCGGAAGCCUGAGCAAAU
rnacentral:lncRNA from 1 species